rnacentral:rRNA from 1 species
AUGAACAGUAAUAGAGCUCCUGGGCCUGAUAACAUACCUGCUAAAUUCUAUCAGCAUUGUUGGGGAAUAGUGAAAAAAGACAUAAUGAGGUUAUUUCUUGCAUUUUAUGAGGGCAAGUUAGAUGUUCAUAGGCUGAACUAUGGUAUAAUCACUUUGCUUCCUAAGAUAAGUGGAGCUAAUAAGAUACAACAGUUCAGACCAAUUUGCCUGCUUAGGUGUCCUUACAAGCCGAUCACCAAAGUGCUUGAUAAUAGAGUGCCCCCCUUUGCAGAUGUUCUUUUUAGUAAACACCAAAAUGCUUUCAUUAAAAACAGGUAUAUAAUGGAUGGGAUUAUG